AAAAGAAACUAACUAGGAUUCCCUUAGUAACGGCGAGUGAACCGGGAUGAGCUCAAAUUUGAAAUCUGGCGUCUUUCAGGCGUCCGAGUUGUAAUCUAUAGAGGCGUUUUCCGCGCCGGACCGCGUCCAAGUCUCUUGGAAUAGAGUAUCAAAGAGGGUGACAAUCCCGUACUUGACGCGACAACCGGUGCUCUGUGAUACGCUCUCAACGAGUCGAGUUGUUUGGGAAUGCAGCUCUAAAUGGGUGGUAAAUUCCAUCUAAGGCUAAAUAUUGGCGAGAGACCGAUAGCGAACAAGUACCGUGAGGGAAAGAUGAAAAGCACUUUGGAAAGAGAGUUAAACAGCACGUGAAAUUGUUAAAAGGGAAACGAUUGAAGUCAGUCGUGUGAAAGGUAUUCAGCCGUCUCUGGCGGUGUAUUUGCCUUUCACGGGUCAACAUCAGUUUAGUCCGGUAGAAAAAGGCUGGAGGAAGGUGGCACCCUCGGGUGUGUUAUAGCCUCCUGUCAUAUGUGCCGGAUUAGACUGAGGAACGCAGCUUGCAGCAAUGCCGGGGUUCGCCCACGU
rnacentral:rRNA from 1 species